rnacentral:sRNA from 2 species
AUUCCGCAUUGCUGUGCGUCAUUCGCGGGGGAACAAACAAAUCCAGUAUGUCACAGCCAGCUGAGCAGCCUUACUCAUUAUGAUAGUAUCACAUCACUGUCCAGCUAAUCCGUCUUGUGGAUUUACAAAUAUUUUACUGUGGAGAUAUGCGACCAUAGCGAAUACUUUGUGGAACAAAAUCGCGAUCUUGUUUUCAUCACACAAAACUUAUCUACCGACAGAGUGUUGACGAAUACUAGAAUUUGAAUGCCAGAGCCAACUGGCCCAUCACCCUCACCACCUUCAACAACACAUCAUUGGAUUUGUGCAUUAAGCAACUGAUCCUUCUAUAUUACGGUCACACCCUUGCUCCUCCAUAACCAACAUUGCUCAGUAUCUUGGCUGCUAUCAAGAACAGCAGGGUAAUGGGUCUCUGAUUUGUCAAAUAUCCCUGGGACUUGUCACAGCGGCUACAGGAAGCAACAAUCCCUUUCAUCAGGAAUCGUUGUACUGGGAACUGAGAAUGUCAUUAGACAUGCGCAUACUCGGGACCCAUACAUAUUGAUCUUAAUCCAACAGCAUCAUGAUGCGUGGGAAGCAAAAUCCUGGAAUUAUAGAUUUCGGCUCAAUGUCAGAGUGAAGGAACAAAAAUACGCCUCAAGCCAUGAACCAUUGGUUGGAAUAUAGAGGGCAUUUUCCACGCAGCUCGGGAGAGAGAACGAUUUCUUCGGUCACUCAAUGAGAGGAGAACUCUAGGCGGGGGGGGGGAAUGGAGGUGCUGUGAGUUUUGAACGGAGGUGUUGAAAUAUCCAUUUUGAGCAGCACUUUCUUUCCAUAACCUGCAUCAUCAAACUUCAACUUUUGCAAUUGGACCUAUCGCAGCAGUAUUUUGAUCUCCCGAAAUAUCCUUGUGCCCUCGUUGCUGGGGAGCACAAAGAUAAGCUACAUCUUUGCUUCAGCAGCUCCAGUAGUGUGAUGAAUAGCAAUCAGAUGUUACUUUUUCACGCGCGAGCCCAGAAGCGUUUGCACAACAGGAGUGUUCACAAUUGGCUACUGAGUAUGUAAGUAUUUGCAUUUUCGUACAGUACCUCAUGGAUUAAGUAUGGACUCCGCCCGAAGAGCUUCAUUAGUGCUGUACCUUACUGUUCCCUGUGAGAGUUGGUAUUGAGAACACAACUGCGUAUGUAGUAUAAACUGCGAAAGAUUGCUAUGAGAGGCUGGGAUGUGGAUUUCGAAAUAAGAAAUCAUUCCAUGGUGCAGUUAACUAUGUACUGUACAUAGUUGGAUAGAUGAGACUUCAUGGGUCGUACCAUGCUCUAGCAGAUCAUAUGAAAAACCAUCAACAGUCAGAUGUGACAUGACUAAACGCCAGCAUUGCACUCUAUAUAACAUAGCAGACUGGGUAUUUCUGAGGA